CAGAAUAUAGCUCAAAAAAAGCAUUUUGCUUACACCAAAAAAAUAUCCUUAUGGAUUAUUCUG
rnacentral:tRNA from 1 species